GGAAUUUUCCGCAAUGGGCGAAAGCCUGACGGAGCAAUACCGCGUGAGGGAAGACUGCCUAUGGGUUGUAAACCUCUUUUUUCAGGGAGGAAUUUAAUGACGUGUACCUGAAGAAUAAGCAUCGGCUAACUCCGUGCCAGCAGCCGCGGUAAGACGGAGGAUGCAAGUGUUAUCCGGAAUCACUGGGCGUAAAGCGUCUGUCGGUGGUUAAACAAGUCAACUGUUAAAUCUUGAGGCUUAACUUCAAAAUCGCAGUCGAAACUGUUUGACUAGAGUAUAGUAGGGGUAAAGGGAAUUUCCAGUGGAGCGGUGAAAUGCGUAGAUAUUGGAAAGAACACCGAUGGCGAAGGCACUUUACUGGGCUAUUACUGACACUCAGAGACGAAAGCUAGGGUAGCAAAUGGGAUUAGAUACCCCAGUAGUC
rnacentral:rRNA from 1 species